rnacentral:misc_RNA from 1 species
AACACUGUUAACCUGCGGUACCUGCGGAAGGAUCAUUAUUGAAUAAACUUGGUCAAGCUGUUGCUGGUCCUUCGGGACAUGUGCACGCUUGCCACCAAUUUUAACCACCUGUGCACUUUUUGUAGACUUGGAAACGUUUCUCGAGGCAACUCGGAUUGAGAACUGCUGGCGCAAGUCGGCUUUUCUUAUGUUUUCUCAGUCUAUGUUUUCAUAUACACCUAAUGUAUGUAUCAGAAUGUA